AAUGUUUUCACAUUUGCUAAGAAAUUAUUGCAGUGGGAAAAUUCACCAAUUCUAUAUUUGUAUUACCAUUAUGUUUACUUAAGGUUAAUUGCAAAUAUUGUUUUUAUAUGAAAAAUACCAAUUUUUUACUUCAAAUAAUCAUAGUUAAUAAUGGAACACCGUGUUUGAAAGUCUUUCAUGUGAGAUGUGUUUUUGAUGAAGAUUCUCAACGUACUUCACUGAUGAGAAUAGAAAUAAAAUAAGUUAACUUGAAGACAUUAUUAUUAUUAUUCCGAGCCAGUAUAAAUACAUGUGUAUGAUCACCAUUCAUUUCCUUUUGGAUAAUAUCUGUUGUGCUAUAAAACUACUCUUUAAAAAAUAUUCUGAUUGAAAGAUUUUUAAUGAUGCAUAUAGUUUUACAAUAAAAUUUGACAAUUGUGGAUAGAGGUGGAUGUCCUAAUACUGGAGACUUUUUUUUAUUGAAUAAUGCAUUCCCUAGCAUAAUAGAAGUAGCAAAAAAGGAAAAAAAAAAGAUAUUUGUAACAUAGAAUUUGCGAGAGAUUCAAAGUUUGAUGAAAAUAUGCAGGCUUCAUCAAACAUAGCUGUUGAUAAACUUAAAACACGAGGUAUAAUGACGAGAGGCAAAAAACCUGACUUUUAUUCAUUGUUGAAAGGAGGACUAGACACCCCUUUUAAAGUGCGAAAAUCAUCAGUAUCAAACAACCAAAAACAGAGAGUAGAUUUUGAUAAAUCUCCAAAAGAUAAAGAUGACGAGAAAAGUAUUAUAGAGAUAGCUAAAGUAGAUGGGAUUAAAAAACAAAAAGAACUAGUUCAGAUGAUCUUCAACAAAAAAAAGGUGAGUGUAACAAGAAAUAUGAAAAUCCUAAACAAGAAUCUGUUGAUGAGAUAUUAUUCAAUGAGAGCACUCAAGACAGUUGUAAAGGGAGAUCCAAGUGUUUCUCUGAAUCUUUACUUGAUGAUGGCAAAUACAGGUUUACAGAAAAAAAGAUGAGAGACUCUUCCAACAGAAAAUUAUCACAAGAGGAAGAAAAUUCAAAGCAAAUAUGUCAGAGUGGCUUAAAAAAACUUAGUAAACAGAGUUUUACUAAGGCCCUGAAAUCUAGAAAACGAAAAAGAUCUAUAUCUGUAAAUUCUCAAGGUUCUGAAUGGAGCCAUGGGGAUGGAGAGAAAAACUUAAAGAAAAGGAAAGUCCCUAAUCGCCCAGGUAUUGUCUUUCAACUUGGUGCUAAACUUGAAGCAAAGGAUUUCCAAGAAAAAUGGUAUCCAGCUAAGAUAAUUGCAAUUGAUGAAGAGGAAUGUGAAGUCUUGAUCCAUUAUGAACGAUGGAGUGCAAGAUUUGAUGAGUGGAUGCCUAUGGACAGUUCAUGCUUACGGGCUCUUCAUCAUGCUCACACACGGAAAGAGGAGAAAGAAUGCUCUGGGAAACAGCAAUCGGUUUACAAAGUGGGUGAAGAGGUUCUUGCCAGAUGGGCAGAUAGGAAAAUGUAUCCAGCAAAGAUUGCUGAAAUUUUUGAUGAUGGUAGUUAUAGCGUGCUAUUCUUUGACGGUUUCCAUCGUAAAGUUCAAACUAUCAAUAUUCACAAGUUGCCACCCGAACUUAUCGGAGAAGUAAUUUUUCCACCAUCCCAGGAGUUGGUUGAAGUUCGUGAAGAUCACUUAAAUAAGUCUGAGAAAAAAAUAAUGAAAGUGCCUCAAAAAAGAUCUAGUGGAGAAGGUAAAACUGUUUCAAUAGGGACAAAAUCUAGAGAAAGCAGGAGAUCAAGCUUUUUAUGUAAAAGAAAUCAGUCUUCACCAUCUGUGAACAAAAGCCAAAAUAAAUUGCUCAAACUUUUUAAAAAAGAAGAGACAGAUGAUGGUACAAGUUCAGGUAAAGAUAAACCUUUAUCUCCAACUGAAGAAAGUUGUAAUAACUUAGAUCGUUUUUGUGAACAAAAUCAAAGAGAGUCAUCUAACUCACAGGAAGAUCCUGCAUGUAAGAAACAAGGUCAAAAUGACUCGGAGUCCACUAGUGUUGACAGAAUAGCUGAAACCAAAGUGGCUCCCAAAGAAUUUAUCGUAGAAGAUGACCACAACCAUUACAAAUGUCAUAUUUCUGGUUGUGGAAAAAGUUUUCGGAAAGAAAAUCUUCUUCAAUCUCACAUAAAACAUUACCAUAGUAAAACAGAAGAUGACUCAAAAAUGAGUUGCAAAAUGCUUCCUGGGAGUAGAGGUAAUACUCCCAAAAGUUAUGUAGAAGACAGCCCCAGAAAUGCUACAGGAAUUAGUACUAGUGAUAUUGGUUCUCCUUCAAACUCAGAUUGUGUUGUAGCUGCCAAAAAAAUACCCAAGUCUAAAUCUAACAGCAAUUUGAUAAAUGUUGGUAAUAUCCUUUCAAAUGAAGGCUCUUUAAGUUCUGAUGUUAAUAACCUUUCUCUAAAGAUUGAAAAAGAGCCAUGUGAGGAUGUUUCAGUGACUGGGGAAAUUGAUCCUGCCCAUUUAUCUGAUAAUAAUGUAACACAAUCUUUACCCCCAAACACAAAAAUUGUUGCAAAGAAUGAUGAUAAAGUCACUGAAGUAGGUAAUAAUAUUCCAACUAAAAGUAAAAAUAUACCAACUAGAUCAUCUCUAAGUAUAGUGACAAGGAGGAGGACUCUUGCUGAAAAGUGUGAUCCUAAAGCUAGUCCACAACUUGAGACAAAAACCUUAUCUAAAAUACAAAGUUCUUAUGAAGUAACAACAAAUAAGAUGUCAGUUCAUGUUGAAAACAAAAAAAGGAAAAAUUCAGUGAUCGAAAGCAGGAGAAAAAUGUCACAGUAGGAAGCCGCAAAGCCAAACUUGAACCAUCUCGAAACAGAACUAAAUCCAUGCAAGCUGCUUCAGAUAGUACAACAAUUAGUAGAAAAAUAAGGACAAAAUCUGCUUCAGAUGUUUUUGACAGAAAAGAAAAUGAAUCAUGUACAGGAGAAACCUCUCGAACCAGGACCAAAUCUCUCCAAGAGAGUUUCUCAGAUGUACAAGUACCAAG